UAGAACUUUCCCCAGCUUUCUGAAGCAAAAACAACAACAAAAAGAGAAUUAGUGAAGGUCUUAUUUUGGUUAAUAGCUUCUAGGUCCCGUGGAAUUUAUCGAAUUUUAGAUUGCUUUACGAAUUUUUGUUCUCUGGUGAUACGUUUAUUGCUCAACUUCAGAGUUCUUCUUCGCUUCUUAUAAGUGUCAUCUCUCUGUUUUGGAGUGUUUCUCAACUCUCUUUGGCAUUUUUUUCUAUUCUUCAGGCCGCAUAGUUGAUUUAGUGGUAAAUAUUUUUAGGAUUCUCACCUUAAUGUAUUCUUAGAUUAGAAAUCAAAGUCUGUAGUCUCUGGACAUUUUUCAUAUAUUUUCAUUUAACCCUAUAAAAAUCCACUCUUUAUUGGACGCAUGUGACAUGCGUAAAUCUUAUCCGAAAUGGAAUGAAAGGGGUUUCGUUGAUACUUGGGCUCUGAUGACGAGCAGUUAAUAGAUGUGGACUUACAUUUCCCAUGCACUUGGUGUAUCAUUAUGCUACCAUCAAAGCAAGUGAUAUCCUGCAUCUUAGAGGCAUCAAGGACGCCGCUAUAUUUAUUCCUGUAGAACCAUGCCGGGAUAAGAGUUGCUAAGGUAAAUUUUGAAGCUUAGCAGAAUAAAAAUAGAAAUCUUUGUUUAUUUUUUUAUGUUUCAAGAAUAAAUACGUACUAUCUCCUCUUACCCUUUCUAUUAUGUUAGGAAAUACUUUAUGAUCCUAAAUGGAUAGCUGCACAUGCUAUUUGUGUUUAACUAUUUUUUUGGUCUAUUUUAACUAUCAAUCCUCAAACAAUGCAUAAAGAGAGAUUGUGUAUGCGUAAAAAUACAAGCACUGUGUAAGGUGUUUGUGCAAUAUUAAGAUGCCAACUCAGUAAAAUGAUUCGAUCGUAUUUGUUGUUUUUGUACUAAUAUAAUUGUGUUAUUUUAGACAUCAUGUCGCCAUUCUAUAAGCAAGAUAUCAUGCAGUAUCUUUGUUUCAGGUCUAUAACCAUAUUUGGAGGGUAAUUUAUUUCUUUUACCACAUGUGAAAGUAAAUAUUGCUUUAGCUCAUGCUGAUGCAAUGUAUAGUACUUCACUGUCCCGGCCCUACAACAAUGUUUUUCAUAGGUUUAUUUGUAGAUAGAUAUAUUAUUAAAUUUUAACUGUAACAGAAAAGUUAGCAUUCUUUCUGAUUUCUAAAUUGUUUAUUAUUGGCAGAUUUUAACUUUCUCCCAAUGCCUACAAAACCCACGCCAUUUCAAAAUGAAAUAACUAAAUUUUGGAUACGAUGCUAGAAAUUAAGCACAGAAGCUAAGAUAUUCUAUAAUGUAUUUUUUAUGUUUGUUUGUACACGGCAACACUUUAAUAUUUAGAUACAAGGACCAAAUUUGCAUAUGAAGAAAAGAGUAGUACACCAGGAAUCUUUGUAUUUGAGUGUGAAGCAACUUUUGUCAUAAAACUUGAGGUUGCCAAACCAUAAUUUGAUAGGAAUUCAGUUUAUAUUUCCCAAUUUAUAAUGUUAAGACGUCUUUUGGAAUUCUUAAUACUUGAAAGAAAAAUACGUUAUGCUUGAUUUCAAGAUUUUUUGUCCUUUCUAAUCUGAGGUAAAAUGUGGAUAGCAACAAUAUAGGGAAAGCUCUCUUAAUAUUAUUUGUGUGGCACUUUGCUUGGUUGACUUACAAGUUUGUCUAAGGAGAUUUUUCCUUGGCUCUUAUUUUAAGCUUGUCUAUUAUUUUAAGCUCUUAGCUACGGGGCAUAUUUCCUUGGUUGUACAAUAUUUUUCAAGUGUCUUUAAAUAAGUUUCAUCGAUAAUUUUCUAUCCCCGAGGGUGUCGAAGAACAGAAACAGUCACAGUUAUCUUCCUUAAAACUCUUUCUAUCUUUUUUUUUCCCUCUUUGUAUCUUUUGCUCUUCAAGGAAAAGCAUUAAAAAUACACACUACUAAUUUCUCAGUAUGGCAUUAUCAGAAAUAUCCGUUUAGGGGAUGAUUACCCAUUAAAAAAUAGAAGGAAGUGCCUUUUCCUUAUUUUUUUCUUGAAGGAGCUUAUUGUUAUCUACUCUAUUUUUCUAUCAUUCCUUGUUAUUUUGGUGCCUUCAGAGAAAUGCUUAUAUUUCCGGAUCAUUUAUGCUUUGUGUGGUUUUCUUCUAGUUCAACUAGAGAUUCGCUUCAUACUUCAUGAACUAUGUUGCUUGUGUUGUUGUUUAAUUUAUAAAUGAACUUGUGACUUCUUAAACAAAAAUCAGUUGCCUAAAUUGGUAAACAUUGUAAGUACUAGAAACUUUUGUUCAAUGUGGACUUAAUAGAUGUAGGAAAAAUUGGCAAAAGACUAUAUUUCUCAAAUCUUAGAUCCUUCCUUUCAAUCAAACGAAGGGAAUAUCCUCUUUUAACUACUAUUUUCAAGUUUAUGCAACCUGCAUUUGCAUCUCUUCCUUCUUGAAGUGCAGGGUUGCAAGUGGUUACAUGUUUUUGGCAUUCAUUCUUAAUUUUGAUAAGUGCUUCUAUAUAUUUGGCAUAACCUAUAGGUUUCUGCAUCUAAUGUAAUGCUGCCAAAGCUUCUUUCUUAAAACCGUGACAAAAUUCUAGAAUUGUCCAUCACUUUUCUCUCCUUUUUACUCACAAUUACCAGCAUAACUGUGAAGCACUUCUUUGCUUUUCCUUCUUCUCAUCUAGGUUAGUAAACUUUUCCCUAAUCUUCUUCUCUUUCUUUUCAAAAAUUUCGAUUUGAUAUUGUCAUCGUUGUUGUCGUAGUAACAAAGGGUAAACUGUUUAAUUUGUGUCCUUUUGUAUAGCUUUUUGGCUAAGAACGUUUGGAUUUUUCAAGUUAAGGUUUACUAAUAUGAGAAUCUGAACAUUAAAGAAUUAGACCCAUUUUAGGAUAAACUUAUUUUGAUAUUCUUAUUGUCUGGUUCCGCAAUCUAUAUGAUAAUGGAGAAAAUUCUUACUUUUUUCUUUUCUUUUUGGACUUAGAGGACAAUUCCAAUGAGAGCAGAUGAUGUUGACUAUUUUUUACUUAGAUCAAACCAGAUAUGGUAACUCAAAAAAUUGGUUAUAUAAUCAAAUGGCCUACUAAUAGAUGUGAGUUUGAGAAGUUUGAAAGUUGUAAAAAAAAUUACAGAAGUUAUUCCUUAAAAAGAAGUCACAUGAACUUUUUCAGAAUAGUAGAUUUUUAAGUUGAGGAAAAUCAAACUUUUUAAGAUGACUUUCCAUUUUCUUAGUCAACCAUUUGUCUCUCAUAAAUCUCUUUUAUAGUAAUGAAAAUUUAUUUGUACCCCAAUAUUUAUAAAUUCAAGACAUGCAUAUAUUUUUUAUACAAAUAUUUAUCAUUUAUCAUUGUAAAUUAAAAAUAUUUAUGUUUUCUUACUUUAAUCGAUAAUGUAAAUUUAUUGAUUUGAUUAGAGUAUCAUACACAAGUAAUCUUUGAGUGUAUAUAUUUAAAAUUUAAGAUCUGAUUUUCUUCUAUUUUUUCCAAAUCGCAUAAGAUUUUCACAAAUCAUGUCUGAUUUAUAUGGGCGAUCGAUUUGAAAGAGAUUGUUUCUGCCAAACUACCUUCCCAAUGUUUGGCAGAAAGAGUUUGUAUUCAAAGAGGUUGUACUUGAAAGAGUUUGAACUUUAUUUGUGUUCUGAAUUUGGUUAAUUCAGGAUUUGGGUUUGAACUUUAUUUGUGUUCUGAAUUUGAUUAAUUCAAGAUUUGAGUUUGAACUUUCUUUGGCUUUCCAAUGUGGCAGAAGACAAUUCUUUGGCUUUCUAAUAUUUUUUAGCUUUAUCCACUUUCUUUUGUUAUUUUUAGUGUUGAAAGGUUAUCUGGAAUAUUUAUUUGUGAGAUUGAAAGUAGAUAAGGAUGAACAAACAGAUCAUUGUAGUAAUUUAUUUGCUUUAGAAGACUUUGAAAAAUCACCCUUCAAAAUUUUUAAUGGACAAUCUGAUUGCUACAACUUAUCAUUUAUAUCGAUGAAAAAGGAAAACUUCGACAAAUAAUCAGCAAGUUCAUAAGUUUAAGUAGUUUUAAUGUUUGUAGCAUUACAUGAGGAGCAGCAAAAAAUAAUUUAAAAUUUAAAAAAGAAGCGGGUUAAGUAUUUUAGAUGGUGUUAGGGUAUCCGAUAUAUAUAAUAAUGGCUACUUGCUGUUGAAAUGUCAUUUGAAUAAGUUUGAAAAGAUCAAGUGGGUGUGAAUAUUAGACCUAGAUUAUACUGGAUUUAUUUCAUUUUCAACCCUUUCUUCAAGACAUUUCUUUCACCAUUAUUAUUAUAUACUCUAUUUCUAAAUCAGAAUAUUAUCUUCAUUCUGUGUUAGAAGGGAGAUAAAUCAAAACACUUUAUAGAAUAUAAAUUUGUUGGGUAUUAAUAAACACCUCAAGUACAAUAAAUUAAGAGCUUUUGUUCUAUUAUGUUGUUAUUUAACUUUCUUAAAAUUUAUUUCUUGAUGUUCUUCUGUUGUACUUGUGCAAGUUGAUAAAAAGUGAAGUUGGCGAGGUUUUUUAGAUCUUUCAAAUUGUACGAUAAAAUACAUGCACAUUUGGAUUUCAUCCAUUAUAUAGGAAUUGGUACAAACAAUAAGGAUGUUAAGAUAAACAAUAUAAUACAUGUUUCCUUGGUGUAAUUUUGGAUAUGAUUUAGCUUUUUUGGGUUGUGGUUGCCUAUUAUUGUCACCUUUCUGUUUUGAUUUAUUUUAUUUUUCAUACAGGUUUUGCUUUCCAUAUAUAUUGUGAUAACUGUCUGUUUGUGUAUAUUAGUAGCCAAUCAUUGUGUGGUGAGUACUGCUCUUCUACUGUAUUUUUAAUUAUUCCCUCUUCGCUUCUUAGCCGUUUUUCAUUUAUUUAUUUAUAUUAUUUUUUUAUGAAGAAAAGAUUUACUAAUUUUAUUUGUAAUAUAAAGUUAUAGGGUUUAAAUUAGUGCCAGAUUAUUAUUGACACUAAGGCAUCACAGUAAUGUAGUGAGAAUUUAUAACUCAUAGAGAUACCAUAUAAUACAUGUGAUGAAAUAGUACCCAUUAUGAAUUUUUUUCUACUGCACUAAAUGUCAGUAUAACCAAGGACUCUACAAUAGAUCUCACACUUCUUUAUUAUGCUCUCCAGAAAUAUAUAGAGUAAUUUAUUAUUGAGGAUAAUUUUAUUGUCUUGAACUGCUGUAGAAGAACAUUCGUUGUUAUUUUGGACCACUGUUGAACAUAUUAUGUUGUUACUUCUUAAUGUUAUUGUAGACGCCUUUGUUGCUGUUUUGCCAUAUAGUUGAAGCCACUUUUGCUGCUAUUUUUGGAUGCGAUUAAAGUCAUUUUGAUGCUAUUUUUGCUUGGGUUGAAGUCAUUUUGCUGCUACUUAAAAAUAUGGUUAAAGCCAUUUUUGCUGCUAUUUUCUACAUGUGGUUAAAGCCUAUUUUUGGUUGGUGCAAUAUUAGGUUAGCUUACCUAUUUACUAUUCGUCUAUGAUACUCCCGCAUCUCCCAUAUUACUCUACUAACACAUUCUUCAUUGUCUAUUAUUGCAUCAAUGCCCCUUGCAAUAGAUCUUUUUAAAAAAAAAAUAAUUUGCAAAAAAAAAAUGCAUCUAAAAGCAGAGAAUUAGUUCUUUGAUAACAUAAGGUCUACUUAUAUUUAUCUGGUAGAGACACAGUUCUAAGCUGGAAAAAAAUGUCUCAAAAAGAAUCCAUUGCAGUGAUAUUGUCCUAAAACUUAGUACAUUCUGUUAUAUGGGUACUAAAACUUGAUCUCUUUUCCAUGAUUCUGGAGAUGUUCAAUACUUUUGUCGGACUGCAAAGAACAACAAUUACAACAUGGAGAAGGAAUCACCUUUUGUGAAUAUAAGUAUAACUCUCAUGGAUGUACAAAUUGUGCUACUUUCGAAGUAGAAUGCAUCUUCUUUUGUCAAUAUGUAAAUAGAUACGCGUCUAUAUAUAUAUAUGUGUGUGUGUGUGUGUGUGUGUGUGUGUGUGUGUGUUGUAUUCUCGUGGAUAUUAGCUUUCUCUGCUUUUAAGAUAAUUCUCAAAUAUUAGCCCUAUUACAUAUCUCAUUUUGGAUUAUGUUCGGGUCUGAAUGUGCGCAAGUUCUUAUACUAGAAGAGUUUUUAGCCAUAGUUUGUAUGUUAUGAUCCUAUGGUCCAACCUUGUCGGUCUCAUUAUAUGGAAAUGUCUUAAGCUGUAUUUUUUAAUAUUUUUUGAUAAUCUCAUGAUGAUCUGGGUAAGGUAUUUCUUUGAAAGCCAUCGGAAUUAUUUGGUGGUCUCAUACACUAUGGGAUGGUGAGAAGAGAUAUAUUUUGCAUCCCAGAGGGGCGCCCGAAGAGCACUUCCCUGGCGGAGAGAUUAAAAGAACGGUCUCAAGAAUGAACUUUAUCAACUAUAUCGCUGCGGUGUUGCUCUAUGGUGUAUUAUUUGACUUCUAUGGUGUUUCAAGCUGUAUUACUUGACUUCUAUGGUGUUGCUCUCAUUGGGGUGUCCUUAGAUAGAGUAGAUCAUGGCUUGAAAAUCAUGUUAUGACCUAUCAAAGCAGUCUAUUUUUUGUAUUCAAAGAAAAGAGUGAAAAUUAGAGGAUAUCUUCUCUGCAAUUUCAUAUCAAAGCAAAAUUAAUCACAAAUAAUGAUUCUAAGCUUUA